GAGUGAUAAAGGUCUUUGGUUGCUUACGGAACUCCAUGAAUGCAGUCAGAAACUGGCAGUGACAGCCGGGUUUAACUUAUCAGCUUAUCACGAAGUUAAGACACGUCUCGCUGAAUUAGUGUACGUCAUGAUCAUCUAUACUAGAUAGGUAAAGGUGUGUGUGUGCGUGUGGCUCCCAGGUUGCGCUAGAGGACUAUGGAGCCCGAUGUCAUCCGCCUGUACUCUUCUUCUCCACCUCCACUAGAUGAGGGUGGAGAGGAGGAAGAGGAGGAUGAGUUUGGUGAGUUUGGCAGUUUCGGUGGUGUAGUAUCCAGUAUCAGUUUCUCAGAGGUUGACACACCUAUAACAUUUAACCAAUCAAAUGCACUAGAGGAUUCGCCACCCGACCUAUACAUCACAUUUGUGCAGAAUAGUACUUUAUCAGAAAAGGGUGUAUGGCCUAAGGAAAAAAAUCUUUUAAAGGAAUUAAAACAGCCUUGUGUUUUAUCAAACCAAGAAUCAUUAAUCAAGGAGACUGAAGUCCAAAGCUUUGAUGACAAUGAUCCUGCAGGGAUUGUCAUGAAUGGUGUUGCAUCCAACGACCUCCAGAGGGAGCUCUCUAUCGAACACAGUGUUUCUAGCAGUGAUCAACACUGCUUCUCAAUAUCUCCUGAUAUUAAACACAGCAGCACAGGUAAACAUAUAGACAACACAUGUGAUGGUCAAAUUAAUGGCUACAGCGAGUCUUGCACACGUAUAGAGCGUGACUCUGAAUCUAGUAUAAGCUCAGGACUGAAUGUCAAACUAUCUGAUUUUGAGUACAAUGAAAAACAGAACCAGCAGAUCUUUAACAGUCACUCAUGCCAUGAAGAUUUAUCAGAACCAGAAGAAACACAAACAAGACGAAAGCAUUGUGGUGACUCGCAGUCAUUUUAUUCCUGUGAAGGAGGUAAGGAUACUCAAAAAGAGGAUAAGGGAACACAAGAGAAAGGGAUCCAAGAUACUCCUGGCCCCUCUAGUAAAGAAAAUGUUGUUGUUUAUAGUAAUGCAUGUUUUUUGGAGGGGUCAAUAGACUCUGAAAUAGCUGAAGUAUUAAUGGUCCAUGAAGUAGACAUGGCUCAUAUCUCUCAAACACAGCUAAGUGGAGAUAAAAGUGAAAUGCAUGAAUCUUCAGGAAACAUGGGGAUGGAGGUAGACGUGGACGAUAAGACCUUUAAUGAAACUCUCGAUGAGGACUUUGGAGACUUUAGAGAUGCAGCUCAGGGUUUCACGGAAUGUAGCCGAACAGAAUCUAUAACCCAGGAAGGAUUUGCUGAUUUUGUCACAGCUAUGUCCAGAUGUUCCACAGAUGAUGAGUUUUGUGACACAGACACCCUUAAGGACUUUCAGGAGGAGGAGGAGCUAGCUAAAGAAGAGGAGGAGUCUGUUGAUUGUGCGGGAGAUGGAGUUUUUUGUUCAGAGUUGCCUCCGAGUGACAGUUUUGCCGACUUUAGUUCAGCUCCGUUUGAUGGUUUGGAGGUGAAAGAGGGUGAGAACUGGGCUACAUUUGGACAGCAGGAAGCUGCAGAAGAGGGUCCGGUUUCAUGGGCAACUUUUGGCAAGGAGCAGAAUCCUUUACAGUGUCAGGAAAAACAAGAUGUUUUGACUUCAGCACCUUGUAGUGACAACCUCAAAAGCUGCAAGAGGGACAGAGAGACUGCUGAAUUCAGCUGCAAAAUACAGAAUCUCCUCAGAAAUGUCUUUCCUUUAAAUGUCAAUUCUGAGGUCAGGCAAGUCACAGAAGUCUCACCCCUCCAAAAUGUUCUGCAGGCCCAGGAUCAAAGUGAUUUAAGUUGCUCCUUUUCUCAAGGGCAUGAUCUGGCCAUGUGGCGUCACUUUCAGGACAUCCACGGUGCACAUGGUCUUAGGUUUAAGUGGGCAGGUUCCCAUAGCAACAUAAUCUUGCUGAAUUGCCUGGGAAUCAGAAAUAUUUUGUUCACUGGUGAGAAGCAGCAGCCACUAAUUGUGCCUAUGUUUGCUGCCGGACUGGGAAUGCUGGAACCCACCAAAGAGUCUGAGAAAUCUCUAGCCUCCCCUGCAUUUUUGCCAUCGGUUCCUGUGGAGAGUGGAAAUAUUUUAUGCACUCAGGUGGUGCCCUCUUUGACCAUUAGUGUUGACGGUACGUCUUUUCGCCGUGCCUCUUUCUCUAGAGCUCAAGAUAAAAUCACUCGCCACUCACGUCAGAAAUCCUACUCCUGAAACUGUCGCUGUUAUCAUCUCUCUCCAAAGCACUUGCUUCCUGUUCACCAAAACUCAUUUCCUCUCUUCUUCUCUCUUACUUCUGUUACACUUGCAGCACUGAAUGUUUCUCCCCUGUGCACACACUGAUUUAAAAAACAUGAACUGUCAUUAGUAGGAUAAGCAGAAAUUACCAUUUUGGUUUCCUCUUUUGCAAACUGUAAAAUGCUACUCAAUCAGGAAAGAGACCAUAUUUUUUAUCUUUGUUUCCCUUUUAUAUGUUUGUAUUCUGGUCUUUCAUGCAUCUCUGUCCUUGUCCCUAUGCACUAUAACAUUUCGGGCUACAGUAUGCUCUUAACACACACACAGAGGCUGAGAAGAUCUACCUCAGAUGAUGAGUAUGCAACUGUGACUAAUUUCCAACAUAUGCAAACUCAAACUAAUAUUACUAUGCCCAUUAUAUACAAAAAUAAGUUUUGUUGUAAAAUAAACUAAAUCAGUCCCUAUGCAUCAGCUACUGUCUCAGGUUUGACUAAAAAAGUGGAAUAUCUGACUUUACUCCUGGUGCUUAGUUCAAGCCAUUAUACAGCUUGAUUAAAGGGCAAAACCACCAUUUCAAGUUUUACUUAUACAUGCUACAGCAGCUGCAAUUUCUUUUUUUUACAUGAAAUUUUAUUUUGGGGGGGAAAUUUAUGUUAUACAGCCUAUGUACAUUUCCAACUUUCCUUUCUAUUCUUAUUCUAUUUUCCCUCUGGUAAACAUUUUCACAUCUUUAGAAACCACUGUGAUUAACAGUGAAAUGUUCAAUAAUGCACUUUUGACUUUAUUGCAAACUGUGAUUUAACUACACAUCAAAAAAAAAAAACAUCCACGAGUUUUUAAUAGCUGCAGACCCUACAUUAACAUAACUGCCUUCAAAUCACCUGCUGGGAGCAUUAUUGCCAUCAGGGUUCCCACAGGUCCUCGAAAUCCUUGAAAGUUUGUGAAUCUGGAGGGAAAAAAUCAAGGCCCUGGGAAGUUAUUGAAAAUAUACAUACAUAGAUACAGGUCAUUGAAAGUGCUUGAAUAUAUUUUAUGCAAGAAGUUUUCUUGUUGGAUUUAAAAUCCGAUAUAUCGGCCUAGAUUUUUUAUUUCUAUUUCAGAAACACGCAUCAAAACUAACAGAUUUCCCUAACAUUAGUUUAACACAAAUAAUAUGAUAAUGCAUUUUAAAAAGAAACUUUUUUUUCUUUUACUGUCUCGUGACCAACUCACCGUGAACUCACUUAACCGUUGUUCUCUCUGCCCAACUCUGGCUGGAUCAGUAGGUUGCAGGAUGUGUGACGCGUUAUACACGAGUGUUGUCAACAGGGAGGUUGUAGAGGGCAACACUCAUGACAUGGUUGAAGGCUGUUUCGUCCUUUUUUUUUUUAUAUGAAUUUAUCAGCCAUUAUGAAUGCCGAUACAGAUAGUUUGGAAAAUGCCUAAUAUCGGCCUGCCGAUAUAUUGGUCGGGCUCUAGAUAAUAUCAUAAAAAUUCUAGGCUUUUUAAGCACACGUGCUAAACUGUUUGCUUUAAAUGCUUAUAUCUUCUGUAUGCAAAUGUUGAUUCAUACCAAAAUGCUUUUUUGCAUAGUUGUGUUUGACACAUGAAAACGUCUCAGGUUGCAUAUGUAACUGUUGUUCCCUUAUAAGGGAAUGAGACCCUGCGUCUCCCUUGCCAUACUUCCUGCGUCCCUAUAAUGCCGUCUUUGGCAAUAUUUCAGAUAGUGAUAUACUUCCUGGCUCCCGCGUCACCCUGUCUUUGUCAUUAAGCCUCACCAUUGGUUGAAUUUGAUACACAUUCAGGCGCACUUACCCCUGGAGGCGUUCCCAAAGUGUCAUCACAGUGACGCAGCACGCGUUCCCUCGAAAGGGAACUGUAACAAUUUAUCUUAAAAAAUAACACGAUGCAACCUUGCUCUCACUUGAAAUGUGACCCCACAUUUAGUCCUUGAAUUUGAGGGUAUUGGAUCUGGAAAGUCCUUGAAAGGUCCCUGAAUUUGAAGUUAACUAUGGUGUGGGAACCCUGUGCCAUUAUUAUGCAUAAUCUAUAGGCCUAAUUAUACACAAUCCACCUGUCAUUUUUACAUCACGCCAGUUUUGCACAUCCAUAACAAAGAGAACUGAAGGCAACAGGCAUUCAUAUCUGUGCUCUCAAAUAAAGAGUGUGUUAUACUCCCAAGUCCCAAAAGUGUGCAAGAUCUAUGACAGCAUAUCUGUGGCAAAAAGAACCCACAGCAUCACUGAUACCUGCACGUGCGAAACAUUUUUAUUGCGAGUGCAUAACAGAUCUUUUCCAUUUCCACGACUGCCAAAAAGAAAUCUAUUUGCGCAAGCUAAAGUAGCAGGAGAGAGUGGAUGCAGCACGAGAGUGUGGGGAUGAUUUUGCAUGUGCUGUUUAAAAGGAGCUCACAAUCUUUAGUUUCCUCACAUGCAGAUCUGUUAUGCUCUCGCAAAAACAAUUUUGUGUGCGCACGGGUAUCGGUUAGGCGCUCGGUUCUUUUUUGGCACAGAUAUGCCAUCAUAACCAUUAUUGUUACUGGUCAAAGGUUCUUUAAGGAAACUACUUUUCCUUACUCACAAUAAGGUUUGCUGAAUGUUAAAGUUCCUUUAUGAAACCAUACAGUCAGACAAUGACCAAUUUUGGAACAUUUAAUUUUAGAGUAUACUGUAAAAAAAUGAUCUGGGUUCAAUACAUGGUAAAAUAUAUUAAUGGCAUUUAUGGCAAAAUGUUGUGGAGCAAAUACAUUUUUUUAACGAAUACAAAUGAGGAAGCAUGUAAUAUUUUGUAGCCAACAAUAUGUUUUGUCUACAAAGCUAUGUUUACAAGUAGGAGGCACGAUACUUGACUGAUAAUUAUAUUGUUAUCUUUUCUUGUAUUGAUUGUACAAAAGUUACAGGCUUAAUGGCAUAAUGACAGUAUUGGAAAUUGUGAAAUGCUCAAUAUUUAUGCUAAUCUUAGGCCAAAGUGUAUAAUGUGUACCCCCCCCCCCCCCUUAAUGUUUACUGCCUGGCCCAAUAUACUUUUAUUGUAAGUGCCUUACUGUACCCGUAAGCUAUGCUUAUUCAAAAAAAGAAAGAAGUGACAAUUAUCCUCUAAUCAAUUACAAUAUGCUGUAUUGAAACCAGAACAUUUUUUAAACCAAAACUGUUACAUUAAAUAAUUUCUGUAUAGAUUUUUUUUCUGAUUGCACCACAUUAUCUAUCUAUCUAUAAUAUUAAUGGAGUUGUGUCUAUAAUUCAGUCUCUGUCUAAAUAAUCUCUGCUAAUAAACUGCAGUAUGACUAUCAUUCUUUUACUUUACAUCUGUUGCUUUAAUAUCUUCUGUUCUCUUUACCUGUCCUGUCACGUCCUGUCAAGUUGCCUGGUACUGAUCUGCAAUUAGUUUUUUGUUACAACACACUUUCUUAAAUAAGUUUAUUUAUUUUUUUUAAGAGCAUCUGCAACAUAUAUCAGCAACUGUAUCUUUCUUCACGUGCUAGUAUGUGUGCAUAUAAUGCUGUUUAUAUAUAAUACUUGACUGAACUAGAGUACUAACAACAAUAACCCUCCCUUUUCUGCUGUCAUUGCGAUGACUCGAGAUGGUGUAAUCUCAGACCUAAAUUUGGAUUAUUUUGGGACUGUGGAUGAAGGUAGCUCAGAUAGUGACAAUGAAACUGCACCACCAGGUUAGACACUCUGGCUGGACAGUUCUGAAUAGAAGUGGCUAGUUUACUUUGAAACCUUUCUUUUCUUUUCACUUCUGCAUGUGAUUGCAAAAUUGAUGUGUCUUUAUGAAAGCUUGACAUACUCUCUUAGUCUGUCAGUGACUUCCUCUCUCUUGGUUUGCUUACAGUAUCUGCCUGUGUGUUGAUCCGGAGUUGUAUGAGCUGACUUCAGCUAAGAUGGAGGCCAAAAGUCCUGGUCAUAGCAUAACAGAUGCAUUUACAAAACUAAUGGAAUCUAUGGAGAAAACAAGAACAACAGCCAGGAGGCCAGAGCAAGAUG